GUCUCCUCCAGCCCUGGUUAUGGGAGUCACCAGUGUCUUGUCCUCUUGCACCUGCAAGUGUACACUGUCCAUGCUGCUCCAUGAUAUAACUCUUCUUUCUUUAGAAUUUGCACUGAAAACUCUCCAACUCUUUCCUGGUGCUAGUUCAACUCCUGGCUGCUUAGCUUCUGAUCUGGCUCCCUGUUUACACAUCUUAGGAAAGCAUCAGGAGAUGGCCCAGUUUGCUGCAUGGGAGAUGGAACUCCUGGUUCCUGCCAUCAGCCUGGAACAUGUGUGUGUGUGUAUUAACGAAAAU